rnacentral:misc_RNA from 1 species
UGCUGGUAAUAACUGGGCCAAAGGUCAUUAUACUGAAGGCGCUGAGUUGAUUGAUGCUGUUCUAGAUGUUGUUCGUAAAGAAGCGGAGAAUUGUGAUUGCUUGCAAGGAUUCCAGGUUUGCCACUCACUUGGUGGAGGGACUGGAUCUGGCAUGGGAACACUACUGAUUUCCAAGGUAAGGGAGGAGUAUCCAGACAGGAUGAUGCUCACAUUCUCUGUUUUCCCUUCUCCAAAGGUGUCUGACACUGUUGUAGAACCAUACAAUGCUACACUGUCGGUGCACCAAUUGGUGGAGAAUGCCGAUGAAUGUAUGGUCCUUGACAACGAAGCUCUAUAUGAUAUUUGUUUCAGAACUUUGAAGCUCACUACUCCAAGUUUUGGUGACUUGAACCAUUUGAUCUCUGCAACCAUGAGUGGUGUUACUUGCUGUUUGAGAUUCCCUGGUCAGCUGAACUCAGACCUGAGGAAAUUGGCUGUGAAUUUAAUUCCCUUCCCACGUCUUCACUUCUUCAUG